rnacentral:rRNA from 1 species
UACGGGGGGGGGCAAGCGUUGUUCGGAAUCACUGGGCUUAAAGGGCGCGUAGGCGGGCUGUCAAGUCUGGGGUGAAAUCCCGCGGCUCAACCGUGGAACUGCCUUAGAUACUGACGGCCUCGAGGGAGAUAGGGGCGAGCGGAACUGUGAGUGGAGCGGUGAAAUGCGUUGAUACUCACAGGAACUCCGGUGGCGAAGGCGGCUCGCUGGAUCUCUUCUGACGCUGAGGCGCGAAAGCUAGGGGAGCAAACGGG